rnacentral:lncRNA from 1 species
GUGAUCUUAUUAUCAGACACUGAUAAAAAAAACAGAGAAGGAAAAAGAUUGAAAAGUAGAGAAUAACAACAUCAGAAAAAGAAGAAGAAAAGAAGAAAAACAGUGGAAGUUAGAGUUUCGUUGAAGUUUUUGGUGAUGAGUCUCUUUGUUCAUCACUUGAAUUAUUUCACUACAGGUUCUUGUUUAAUCUUGUAUUAUUUACGUUAUCAAUUUUGUUAUGGGAAAGCAUUAAUGCAUUAUUCAAGAUAUUAUUUGUUUGUAAAUAUGUAAUGAUAUAAGUUUAUGCAUCAUAUUUUGCUAAAUAUGUAUAUGAAUAAUAAAUUUAAGUCUAGAAAUUAAGAAAUAUGUAAUCGAAAAUGUAUAUUUUUCUUUUACACAGAUUAUAUAAACACAAUCAUAGAAGCCAUUUUUUUUAUGUACACAGAUCCACAUUCAUAUACAUAGUAGGAAACAAUACACACAUUCUUCAAUUUUCUUUUAUCAGAUUGCAGAUCCACAUGCACACAUGAAGAUAAAAAAAAUAAAAAAUAUAAAAAAAUAAAAAAUUAAUCACGAAACCACCCUUGCUGGAAUCGUUCCCUCACCGGAAUAUGACAUCUGCCUUCAAAACCAGAUCAGAAAUCACUAAAAAAAAAUCUCUCUGUUGCAAUUCCGGCGAUUCUUUUCGUCGAAAAAUAGAGAAAACCCGUCGUACCUCUCCCGUUUCCUCUCCCCAGACCCAAUCGGCGCACCUCAUCGCCGCGCUGCCUCCUCCAGCCCCUUCUUCCCCUUUUCCUUCCCCUCUCGUCGCCGGAAUUAUCCAAGACCGGUGUCGCCUCCAAAUCCCUUCCCAGAUCUGACUGGAAUUAACGCCACAGCGGCGAAGCUCUGAUGCCUAAUCAGCCAUAAAAUCUUUUUCCUUUUCCAUCAGCGACACCCCUCUCCUUUCUUCCUUUUUCCCGUCAGCGACCAAUUACCAUGGCUGAGAAAAAAUGGAUUCAUAGUAAUUGAGAGAGAAAGAAAGGAGAAAGAAAAUAGGAACCUGGGCAGUAUAUUGUGCGUGAGAGUUAAUGUGUGUAUGUUAUAUUCUUUAAUAAUAAUAAUAAUAAUAAUAAUAAUAAUAAUAAUAAUAAUAGUUUGGGGAAAUUAAGAUUAGUAUAAUAUAGUAACAAUUUUCUUUUUAUUUUAUUGUUAUUUUAUUCGUUAUCAUUAAUAAGGAUUUAUUAUUUUAUUAUUAAACUAGUUAAUUAUUUUAAGAUGAAAAGUUAUUUAGUUUACUGUUAAUAUUAAAUAGCAUAUUUUGAAAAUAUAUAUUGCUAUGAAUUAUUAAAAAUAAGAUAAAUUAAUCUUUUAGCGUUAGAUAAUUUUUAGGCAUGUUUAAAAUAUUCGUUUCAAUCAAGAAUACGGAGUACGCAUCUUUCUGAGAUAUUUAAAAUUCAAGGAUGCAAUAAUGCACCUUGACAAAUAUUCUUCUAAAAUUAAUUUUUACCAAUUUAUUUAGCAUAAGAGGUGUAGUCAGACAUUUUCGGUAUAAUUAAAAAUGAGCGAUUUUAGGCCUUAACAUAAUUUAAAUAAUUUAAGUCAAGAUAAGCCAAUAAAAGCGACUGUGUUAGAACCACGGGACUCGAGGGGUGCCUCACACCUUUCCCUCGGUCAACAAAAUUCCUUACUCAGUCUUCUAUUUUCGCAGACCAACAAAGAGUCAUUUCCUUUUGAUUGGGGAUUCAAUAAGGUGACUUGGAUCACCAUAACUCGAUUCCAAGUGGCGACUCUGUAAUUUAAUUAAUCCUUAUUCAAUAUCGUCACUUUAAUUGAAAAAAUGCUUUGACCUCGAACCCUUCGGGCGAAAAAGGGGUGUGACAUCUCUGACGACUCUGCUGGGGAAUAAUAAGAAUUUGAGCUUUUUAUAUUGACUUAUAUUUGCUUUAAUUAUUGUUGAUAUUGUGUUUGUUGGCCUUAUGUGUUACUUGUCGCUUAUUUACCGCUUUGAUAUUGAUUGAACUGUAUUAUAUAUUGUCUUCUCUUGCGCACCCACUCUGAGUCUAUGAAAUAGGUUAGAAGGAAUGGAGCACAUAGAUCCUACUUUCAUUUUGAGAUAGCUAGAGUGUCAAGACACUUGGUGAAAGAUAUAGUCACAUUUGUUAGGCGGAGUUUGGAUCGACAACAAAGGCGGUGUUGCCCUGCUACCGACCAAGUUGUCCCUUCCCAGUUCGAGUGUCCGCACAGGUAAGCCAGUCUAGACACCUAUCCCUAUUAGGUUUAAAUUUAGAAGAACUGAAAACUUUGAAUCUGGUUAUCCCUAUUAGGUGUCGUUUUAUUUGCAUCAUAUGCAUUUGACUUAGCGGGACUCGGCACAGGGGCCGGGUCUGUAUAGGACAGGUAACCUACUUUGUAAAGACCAACAUCUACAUCCUAUGUGCUUUUUGACAUUUAUUUGGAAGGCUAUUUGUGUGUUGACCGGCUUUUAGGUAAUAUUAAAAUGCAAGAGAUUAAAUUAUCAUCACAUUUAAUGAAUCAUUUUUGAAAGAAAAAUUUUAUUUUUAAAAGAGAAAAUUUUUAGUAACAUAGUUUUAUGGUUUUUACGAACUACGAGGGUCUGAUUUUCAUUCUUUAGUGAUAUACGUAGGAAAUCCUGUUCGGGAUAUGACCCGGUAUUUUGACAAAAAAAAUAAUAUAAUAUAUAUAUUCACAAAUUUACUUAAGGAUAUUUUUGAAAAAAAAAUAAAAAAAUUUAAAAAAUAAAAAUUAAUCAUUUUCAUGAAUAUUAUUAUCUUUAUUUUAUUUUCUCCUUUUUAUUCUUAGAAUUAAUUUUAAUACAAAUCUUAAUAGCCUGAACCUUUUGGGGUCGUGAGCUGAAUUUUUUAUAAAGUAAUAAAAUAUGUAAACAUAUAUCUUAACAGUUCUGAACCUUUAGGGGUCGUGAGGCUGAAAAUUUUAUACAACUUCAUACAUAAAACAAUCAUUCUUCUUUUCUAAGUCAUUCUAUUUUAUUUUCUUUUCUUUUUGUUCCUUUUAAGUGUACUUAGGGGGAAUUGUCUCCAAAUAUAUAGUUAAAAUUGUCUAGAGGUUUGUUAUUGCAAAAUUUUUGACAGAGUCAACUUAAAUAAGUAUGUUUCCUAAAAAUAUUAUCAUUCAUGUUUCUUUCACUUUGAUUUUUAAUAAAAUCUUUCUUUACAUCUAUGCCCUAAUUUAAUGGUCGCACUAGUUCUCACGAGUCAAGUUAAAAAUUCUUUUCAAAAAUUAAUAAAUUAAGUCCUUCCUAGGUCUAGACAUUUAUUAAUCUCAUGUCCUUGUCAAUAGGCAUAAAAUGUCUCCUCUUGUUCAUGAAAAGCGUCCAAAGAGAAAGAGGGAUGGGAGUGUACCGUUUCAGGUUGUGGAUUGUACCCCUUUGCAGCUUUGGUUGUGGUGGAAUAAAAUGGAUACAUUUGAUUAUGACGAGAUGCAUAAGUAUUUGGGUUUUUUGACGAGUAUUAUAUCAAUCAAGCGUAAUAGGGAGGUGAUUGAUGUAUUUCUAACCUUUUGGGACCCAAAGAACAAUAUGUUUCGCUUUUCGGAUUUUGAGUUGACUCCAACUUUAGAGAAGAUAGCGGCCUAUGUUGGAUAUGAAGAUAUGCAUUAGAAGAAACUUAUAGCCCCAAGACUCAUUUCGAUAAACAGAUUCUGCAAGUUCAUGAACAUACAAAACUCAAAAGAAGAAUCAAUAAAAAAAGGUUGGGUUUCUUUGCAGUUUUUGUAUGACAUAUAUGGAAUACAAGAGAGGUUUGAAAAGUACGGUAAACAGCUUUGUAAUAAAGGAAGUUUUGAGGCGUAGAAAGUUCACAAACGAUUUGCAUUCAUGGUAGCCUUUUUAGGCACUAUGAUUUUCCCAAGAAGAGAAGAAAAAACUAAUAUUCGUUUAGCUGGAGUGGAAUAGAUACUGAUUAAGAAAGAUUACACUAUGGUACCAAUGAUCCUGGCAGAUAUCUACCGUGCUUUGGCCGUUUAUCAGAAAGAAAAGAGUUUUUUCGAGGGAUAUAAUGUCUUGUUACAGAUGUGGAUUGUGGAGCAUCUCUACCGACGUCCUACAAUGGCAAGAUUUAAUCCUGAAAGAUUCAAUCGCAUCAAAGAUUACGAAAAGAGGUUAGAUAAAUAUAAAUGCCCAUAAGGAGUUAGAGAUUGGGAUAAGCUUUUUCGUUCUCUGACGGCAGAUAAAAUUACUUGGAAUCUCCCUUAGUUCCCUUAGAGGCAAGUCAUACAUAGUUCUGUCAUUUGGCCGUUCUUGUUAUUAAUGGGUAUUAGGGAUGUUCAACCGUAUGUUCCAUUGAGAGUUCUACGUCAACUAGGAAGACGUCAAAUUAUUCCCAUAACGAAAAAUAUGAUCGAGUUUGUAUUUGAUGUCAGACCAGAGAUUCCACUUCCGGAGGAAUUGGCCCAGUAGAUUUGAGAGGGUUGCCGUAUCAUGGGGAUUGAAACAAUGGUCAUAGAGCGUGAGAAAGGAGAAGUGCACCCAGAUUACCGUGAAUGGUUUGAAGAACAGUCGAGUCCGCCAGCCAGACCAGAAAGAUCGGUUUAGGGACUUAUAGAUCAGGAAGCUGCAAUCAGGAUAGGGAUUGAGAGAGACAUGCAAGAACAUCAUGAGGCCAACCAAGUUUUGAGAGCAGAAUUAGAGCAUGCCAGGCAAAAAUAGACGAACAACAAAAGGAAUUUGCUGAAGAAAAAGCUAAAUCAGCAGAUAUUGAGGUUGCACUUCGGGGACAAAUCAAACUGGCUACCACUAGGGGGUCACACGUUACAGAACUUGCCGCAUCUCGUCGAUAGCAACUGCAAAAAGUUGAAAAGAACAUGCAAGAAGAAUUUGAUCGAGAGAGAUCUCAGUGGAUCCGUGAAAGAGAAAUAUUGCGAGAACAGUUGGAGGUUACUUCUGCUCGUGAACAGCAUGCAGGAGAGAUGGAUGAUUUUCGAGAUCGACAGGACCAUAAAUGAGAUCCGGCCUUCAGUUCCCUUAGAGAAAAGGUCUGUCGUGUAGCACAGGAUACUGUCAGAAUGGGUUUGGAUUAUCAGCAGUUGGAUUGUGAAGAAUUUUUGGCGCAAGUACCAGCUUUCGCACAACGUCUCACUACUUCAUUGAAGGACAUAUACUUGGGUUUGGGAGGACAUAUCAAGCCGAAGUCUCCUUGAAUGGAUAGUUGUUUUCUUGGUCAUAGUUUUUCAUUUUCAUUUAAAAAAAAAACUUCUUGUUUAGAUGUUAUGUCUUUUAGUUUUCAGAUGUCAGUUAGUAGGUUUUAUCUUAGGAGUUGAGUCUGUUAUUUUAUCGUAUUUAUAUUAUAGAAUGUAAUGAAGUUGUCUAUUUAUUUCUAUAUAUAUUACAUAUGUUUUACUUCACUUACUUUAUUUUCUUAAAAAAAAUAAUCAUUUUGUUAAAUUCCUCCUGAACUACGCAAGAUCUGAUUCAUGUCCUGGCAUGAUGCGUAUGCAACCCUCCAAAGGGUUCGAUCGUAACUUUUGAAAAAUACGCCUAGAAAAGCCGGGAUGAAAUACAAAACCUUCCAUGAUAGGUUGGAAAAUGCAUAUAGAAGCAUGACAUAUAACGUGGCAUUAUAAUGUGUUAAAUAUAUAACACUCACUCGUUUGCUACUUGGUCACAGAAAGAUAAAGUAAUUGGUGGUUGAUUUGUGGUUUAAACUGGUAUCACAUCUGUAUAACACCAGAUACAAGGGUAAAAGAAAAAUGACCCGUAGAGAAAGUAUAGGGUCUGACAGUAAAGAAGAGCAAAAUCAGUUGAUUUCGCAGGAAGUAGCAUAAAUGGAAGAAAUAAAGUCAUUGAAACAACAGAUGGCGGAGAUGUACCAAGCUUUGUUAAAUGGACAAGCCCCGCCUUCUUCAAUCCCCGGACUUUCGACUUCGAAUGAUCCAAAUUCUGACCCAACUUAAACUAGUGAUUCAUUUUACCCACCAGGAUUUGGCACAUUUGCUAAUAUAUCUGCCGUUGCAGGCACUUCUACUAUGCACCCACCAGAUUCGUCUAUUACAAAUAACCCUCUUUUUACUUCCACAGUACCGAAGAAUAUAGAGAAACCAAGUCAUGAUCUAAUGUAUCCUCCUGAAAUGACUUUCAAAUCCCAAAAUCCAUAUUAUCAUGCUCAUCAACAUGAUUCUCCUAUCGUAAUUGAGAAGAUUGUUAAUAAUGAAGAACAAGAGGAGAUGGCUAGGAAAGUAAGAAGCUUGGAGCAGAGUAUGAGAAAUAUGCAGGGAUUAGGUGGACCAAAAAGCUUUUCAUACAAAGAUUUAUGUAUGUUUCUUGACGUCCAUUUGCCGCUAGGGUACAAAAUGCCAAAGUUUGACAAAUACGAAGGUCAUGGAGAUCCUGUUGCUCACUUGAAAAAGUUCUGCAACCAAUUAAGCGGAGCAGGAGGAAAAACAGAAUUAUUGAUGGCUUACUUUGGAGAAAGCGUGACAGGAAUAGCUUCUGAAUGGUUUAUUGACCAAGACAUUUACCGUUGGUAUGUGUGGGAUGACAUGACUCGAGAUUUCAUUCAGCAAUUUUAAUAUAAUAUUGAGAUAGUGCCAGAUCACACUACGCUUGCUAACAUGAGAAAAAAAUGACUAAAAGUUUUUGAGAAUAUACUAUCAGAUGAAGAGAGCAGGCUUCAAGAGUUAGACCAUCGAUAAAGGAAUCUGAAAUGAUGGAUAUCUUUUUGCAAGCUCAAGAACCCGAUUAUUUCCAUUACUUACUUUCUACUAUUGGAAGCAUAUUUACUGAAGUUAUUAAAGUUGGAAAGAUGGUAGGGAAUGGAAUAAAGCCGGGAAAGAUUAUCAGCCAGGCCGCUUAAAAGCAAUAACACAGGUAAUUUAAAGUGGUGUAGGAAGUUUCGGGGGAAAGAAAAUAAAAGAGGACGUAGCAACUGUCGUGCCAGGUCCAAGAUAAAAUUGGAGAGGUACACGUUAACCAUAUGCACAAAAUCCAUUAUAUUUUGUUCCAUCCCCAUAAUAUCGUAUUUACAAUGCACAACUAUAUGUUCGGGCUCCUUCUUACCCACAAUGGCGUGCACCAGCCAUCCAAAAUCAUUCACCGGUCCUGCAAAUUCAAAGAGGCCCUUUUUUGUCUAAUUUUUGACCUAGAGCAGACUACAAAAAGGAUAACAUGAGCAAAGACAAUUUCACUCCUAUUGGAAUAUCUUACACCAGUUUAUUUCAUAGGCUGAGGAAAAUGAAUGUUCUAAACCCAAUUGAGAAAAGAAUCCCGAAUCCUCCUCCAAAGAACUUGGACUAUUCUAGAAGGUGUAAAUACUGUUUUGAUGCCUUAAGGCACAACAUAGAGAAAUGUUGGUAUCUGAAAAAAGAUAUUCAAGGACUGAUUGACACCCAACAGAUCAUGGUAUAAAGUUCAAACGCUCCAAAUAUAAAUCAAAAUCCGCUGCCAGAUCAUAAUGAAGCAAACAUGCUUGAAGUGAUACCCAGUGGUAAAGAUGUUGUAAUAUCCUUCAAGCCGAUUAUUAAAAUUAAAACUGAUUCGAAAAAAUCAACAAAUGAUGUAAAUUUGACAAAAGAAAAACCUGUAAAAGCAGAGGUGGCAAUAAUAAAACCCGAAUCAUCAAAUGUUCCUUGGUGAUGGAGAAAGAGAUUUCAAAAAAUAAUGGGUCAAGUCAAGUAAAGCCAAAACUCAUUGUUCCUGGAAGAUCCCCUAAACCUCUCUUAAUCAUAAAAAAAGCUCCUAUAACUCUCAUUGUUAUUAAACCAGUGUCACAGUUGCCUAUGGUUAAUACUAAGACAGUUCCUUGGAACUAUGAUCGCGUUGUGGUAAUGCACAAGUGGAAAGAAGUGAUUGAAGAUGUGGACGAAGUAGGGAGAUUAACUUGAUCUGGAAGAUGUUAUGCCCCAGUAGAGUUAAGAAAGAAUAAACAAGGUAAUGGAGAACGAAUAACGGUCAAGAAGCCUUUUACUGAUGAAGAAGCUGAAUAAUUCUUAAAGAAAAUGAAAUUGCCAAAAUAUUCUGUUGUAGAGCAGUUGAAGAAGACACCAACAUAGAUUUCUUUGUUGUAUUUAUUAAUAUAUUCAUAAGAACACCGCAAGGUUAUAAUGAAGAUUCUUAACGAAGCAUGUGUUCCCAGUGAGAUUAAAGUGAAUCAACUGGAAAAAAUUGUUGAAAGGAUCCUUGAAGCAAAUAAGAUUACUUUCUCAGACGAUGAAUUGCCUGUGGAAGGUACUGGACAUAAUAAGGGUCUCUACAUUACUGUGAAAUAUGAGCAUUCCAUCAUCACUCGAGUGUUAAUUGAUAGAGGAUUAGGUGCUAACAUUUGUCCUAUGUCAACUUUGCAAAAGUUGAAUGUUAAUGUAGAAAGAAUCCGACCUAACAAUGUAUGCAUCAAAGGUUUUAACGUAUCAAAAAUUGACGCCAUUGGUGAAAUAGAACUCAUAUUGACAAUCGGGCCUGUAGAUUAUGCUAUGGAUUUCCAAGUGCUGAACAUUGACGCUUCAUAUAAUAUGUUAUUGGGAAGGCCAUGGAUUCAUAGGGCUAAAGCAGUCGCAUCAACGUUGCACCAAAUUGUCAAUUUUGAACAUGACAGAUGUUGAAGCAGAUACUGCAAAUAGAGUAUUAAUUUAUAAAACUUCUGAGGUAGUGGCUGUUGAGCAUAUCCUCGAAGAGAAUCUCAUCGCAAGACCAUAAUUAUUCUCUGCAUCUGUUAUGGUAGUGAAUGAAAUGUUGAAGCAUGGUUUCGAACCAGGGAAAGGUCUAGGGAUAUUUUUGCAAGGUAGUGUUCAUCCAGUAAACCUCCAUGAGAACCUUGGUACUUUUGGUUUGGGAUACGUACCCACUGCUGAAGAUAUAAAGAAGGCUAAAAAGAAUAAGAAAGAGUCAUGGACAGUUACCAAACUGAUACCGCUACUUCACGAAUCCUUCAUCAAAGUCAACGUUAUUGCGUCCUCUAUGUUACCUGCUGAAGAGUCAGUGAAUGAUGAUAUACAGAGUUGAUUAGCCUUUUUCAGAAUAUGUUCAUUAAAGCUGAUAUGGUUGAAAUUAGGGAGGGUACCAACAAUGCAGACUUAACAAUUGGGAGGCCACUCCUCUCCCUACUAUGAAGGAGUCUUAGUAGUUUUUUUUCUGUCUUGGUAGCUUGUUUUUUUUUUUCUGUAAUUUAAUAAUUUUAGGAUUGUAAUUCAGAUCUUUACCUUGGUAUCUUAGGUUAAAAAUCUUUCUAGCUUUGUUUUAAUAAAAUGCAGUCUCCCUUUGUUUUAUUUUUAGUCUGAUGUUUAUUUAUUUAUUUUUCUAUCAGACUGUUCUUUCUAUGCCAAUUCUAAUGAUAUGACAUGCAUGAAGAAUUGUCAACCAGAUUUAAAAAAAAAACAAUUUAAUUAUGAAAUAAUGAAUAAAAAAGUUGAAUACGAUGAAGGAGAAACAUUUGAGGAUAUAAACAAAGAUUUCAAACAGUUUGAGAAUAAGACAAAUCCCAAUUUGGAGGAAAUUGAGGCGAUCAAUUUAGGAAAUCAUGAAAAUAUUAGGGAGACUAAGAUAAGUAUACAUGCUCAAACACAACAAAAAAAAAGCUAUAAUUGAAGCUUUGCUUUAGUAUAAAGACAUCUUUAUGUGGUCUUACGAUGAUAUGCCUGGUUUGAGCACCGAUUUGAUAGUUCACAAGUUGCCAAUUGAUCCUGCUUUUCCUCAUAUCAAGCAAAAGCUAAGAAAGUUUAAAACUGACAUGAGUGUAAAAAUUAAAGAAGAAAUCACGAAGCAACUUGAGGCUAAAGUUAUUCGAGUAGCUCAAUAUCCUACUUGGUUGGCAAAUAUUGUCCCUGUUCCAAAAAAAAAACGGUAAAGUUCGGAUGUGUGUUGAUUAUCGUGAUCUAAAUAAAGCGAGUCCGAAAAAUAAUUUUCCACUUCCCAAUAUUCAUAUUUUAUUAGACAGUUGUGCCAAACAUGAUCUUGCUUCUUUUGUGGAUUGUUAUGCGGGGUAUCACCAGAUCAUUAUUGAUCCAGAAAUGCAAAAAAGACAUCAUUUAUCACGUCUUGAGGGACAUAUUAUUAUCAAGUCGUGCCUUUCGGACUAAAGAAUGCUGGGGCAACUUACAUUGGGGAAAUGAACACAAUAUUUCAUGACAUGAUGCACAAAGAGAUUGAAGUUUAUGUGGACAACAUGAUCAUUACGUCAAGAGAGCAGUCUGACCAUGUCAAAGAUCUCAGAAAUUUUUUUUGAAAGGCUUCAAAGAUAUGAUCUCAAACUUAGCCCAGCGAAAUAUGUAUUUGGAGUCCCGUCAGGAAAGCUUUUGGGGUUUAUAGUCAGUUGGUGUGGCAUUGAGUUAGAUCCUUCAAAAAUAAAAGCUAUUUAAGAUUUGCCUCCACCAAAGAAUAAAACAAAGGUGAUGAGCUUACUUGGAAGGUUGAAUUAUAUCAGUAGAUUCAUUGCUCAGCUUACGACAAUCUACGAGCCAAUAUUCAAGUUGUUGAAGAAGAAUGCUAAAGUUGAAUGGACUGAAGAAUGUCAAGAGGCAUUUGACAAAAUUAAGAGGUACUUGUCGAAUCCGCCUAUUUUAGUUCCUCCAGAGCCAGGUAGACCCUUGAUAUUAUACAUGUCUGUGUUAGACAAUUCUUUUGGCUGUGUAUUGGGUCAACAUGAUAUCAUUGGCAGAAAAGAAUAGGCUAUCUACUACCUUAGCAAAAAGUUUACCACUUAUGAGGCAAAGUACACUCUUCUUGAGAAGACGAGUUACGCCUUAACUUGGGUAGCCCAAAGGCUGAAACAUUACUUGUCGUCUUAUACUACUUACCUCAUCUCUCGUAUGGUUCCUUUAAAGUAUAUAUUUUAGAAGUCUAUGCCCACAGGCAAACUCGCGAAAUGACAAAUGUUGCUCACAGAGUUUGAUAUUGUCUAUGUGACACGAACUGCAAUGAAAGUUCAAGCUUUAGCAGAUCAUUUGGCUGAAAAUCCUAUUGAUGAGAAGUAUGAACCAUUGAAGACUUAUUUUCUAGAUGAAGAGGUAUUGUACGUUGAUCAGUUUGUUUCUAACGAUUGUCAUUUAGGCUGGAAGUUGUUCUUUGAUGGAGCUGCUAAUGUAAAAAGAGUAGGGAUAGGAGCAGUUCUUAUUUCUGAAUCAGGACAAUAUUAUCCUAUAACAGGCCAACUUCGAUUCUAUUGUACCAAUAAUAUGGCAGAAUACGAAGCUUGUAUUCUGGGUUUGAGACUAGCUAUUGACAUGGGAAUCCAAGAACUGUUAGUGUUAGGAGACUCAAAUUUGUUAGUCCAUCAAAUCCAAGGAAAUUAGGAGACUCAUGAUUCAAAUAUCUUACCAUAUCAAGGUUGUUUGUAAGAUCUAUGUCAACGAUUUGUAUCAGUAAAGUUCAAACACAUUCCCAGAGAUCUUAAUGAGAUUGCUGAUGCUUUGGCGACCUUAUAUUCGAUGCUUCAACAUCUCGACAAAGCUUAUAUUGACCCCUUGCAUAUACAGAUUCAUGAUCAACAUGCAUAUUGCAAUGUGGUAGAAGAAGAGCUUGCUGGGGAACCAUGGUUCCAUGAUAUCAAAGAAUAUAUUCAGACUGGAAAAUAUCCUGUACAUGCGGAUGGUAACCAAAAGAGAACCAUUCGACGUUUGUCUAGUGAAUUUUUCCUAAGUGGGGGAAUCUUGUAUAAGAGAACUCCAGAUUUGGGACUUUUAAGGUGCAUAGAUGCUAAAGAAGCUUCAAAAAUCAUGACUGAAGUACAUUCUGGGAUCUGUGGACCACACAUGAGUGGGUAUAUUUUGGCAAAAAAAAACUCCGAGCAGGUUAUUAUUGGCUCACCAUGGAGCGAGAUUCCAUCAAUUUCAUUCAUAAAUUUCAUGAAUGUCAAGUACACGGGGACUUGAUACAUUCUCCUUCAUCUGAGUUGCAUAUAAUGACUGCUCCAUGGCAUUUUGUGGCUUGGGGAAUGGACCUAAUUGGAUCAAUUGAACCGAAGGCCUCGAAUGGACAUAGGUUCAUCUUGGUAGCCAUUGAUUAUUUUACGAAAUGGGUGGAAGAAACGUCUUUCAAGUCAGUGACCAAAAAAUUGGUGGUUGAUUUUUUUAUUCCAACAACAUUUAUCGAUUUGGCAUUCCAAAAAUAAUUAUCACGGAUAAUGCUGCAAAUCUCAACAGAUAUUUGAUGCAAAAAGUGUGUCAACAAUUUAAGAUUAUGCAUCGAAAUUCAACUUCUUAUCGCCCAAAGGCGAAUGGAGCUGUAGAAGCUUCCAACAAGAACUUAAAGAAAAUACUCUGUAAGAUGGUGCAAGGUUCCCGACAAUGGAACGAAAAGUUACCUUUUGCUUUAUUGGGUUAUUGUACUACAGUUCGGACUUCAAUUAGUGCAACUCCUUACUUGUUAGUGUACAGAACAGAAGCAGUUAUACUUGCAGAGAUUGAAAUUCCAUCUUUUCGAGUAGUUGUAGAAGCUGAAAUUGAUGAUGACCAAUAUGUCAAGACUCAUUUGGAGCAAUUAAGCUUGAUUGAUGAAAAAAGAUUAACAUCAGUAUGUCAUGGACAACUAUAUCAGAAGAGAAUGGCACGGGCAUAUAACAAAAAGGUGCAUCACAGACGUUUUGAAGUUGGUCAGUUAGUACUAAGACACAUCCUACCCCAUUAGAUAGACGCCAAAGGCAAAUUUUCUCCUAAUUGGCGUGGACCAUUCAUGGUGAAGAAAGUGUUACCUAAUGACGCGUUAUAUCUGACUGAUAUAGAAGGCAAAAUGGAAGAAAUGUCGGUCAAUGCUGAUACAGUUAAAAGAUAUUAUGUAUGAUAUUCAUGUACAAUUACAUUAUGUACGUUUUGUACUUGCAUUUUAAAAGAUUGAAAUGAUGAAGGCAUUUUGUUCUACUAUCCGAAUAAUAUAUCAACCUUUGCUUACCCUUUUGAGCUUUUAUCUUUCUUCGUACCCCUCUUUUGGAAUCAAAUUAAAAAAAAAAUCAAUCAAAAAUUCAAAAUCAAGCAAAAAUAAUUUUCCUGAACUACGUUUGACCUGAUUCUUCCUAUGACAAGAUACGUAGGCAACCCUACUCUGGAGUUUGGUUCAACCAAAAGAAUAUUCGAAUUACCCAGAAUAAAAUAAAACUGGGGCAAAAUUUUAUUACCUUAAAAAGAGUCGAUUCCAAAAGUUGUAUGUUUUACCCAAUGUUGUGUAAAUUUUGAGCUUCACGCCGACCUUUCUUUCUAACCCAGUCCAAAAGCCAAGUUACAACCAAAGAAAGACCCUCAGAUCAAUCUUUGAGAAUGUCAAGGCUAAACAUGUUAUGGGUGCAUGAUAUUUAUAUUUUGGGUGUUUACUUAAAAGAAAAAAUGAAUGAAAAUGAGAGAGUCUUAUUGGUGAAAACCCUUUUGGGCACCAUAAGACUACUGUAAGCUAAGGAAGAAACAAAAAUGAGAUAAGCUCAUUGGCAAAAAUCCAUUGAGGUGCCACUAGCCGAAGGAGGGUUGUUAUCCAGAAAGAAAAGUUCAAAAUUGGCUUAAUUUAAAGCUCAAUAAGUGGACAAAAGUUGUAAUGAUUAGUGCGGGUAUAUCUGGUUGUUUGUUUGAUUCAAAAUGCAAUCAUAAUCACCAGAAUCGGUUUCCACAUUCAAAUAAGUUUUUCUUUUUGUUUUGAAAAAGAGAUGCUUAUUGUCUUUUUUCUUUUUGUUUUAUUUUGAUUUUUGUUUUUUUAUGUCCUUGUCAUCGAACAAAAAUUUUUGUUGUAUUUUGUGUGUUUUUGAGUCAAAUUCACAUCAGGUCAAGUGAGAAAGAACUCCAAACUUACUACCAACUUCUUCAAUGGUAAAAAGCAAGACAGAGGGUCGACUUACAAAGACAACACUUCAAAGUAUAAUAAAGUUCUCAGAAUGAUCAUGAUUGACAAUUUUUGGCUCGUUGAAAGAUAAAAGGUAUAUGAAAAGUUAAAUCCUGAGAUAUUAUACAAGGGAAAUAUGUUUUGAGUUGAGAGUAGCAGUAAUUAGAAUUUUGGAUCAGAAGUAUGACAAGUCAAUGGAUAUUAAUCAAGGAAUGAAAAAGAGUUGAGCAUGGAAAGUGCAAAAACAGUCAGUUCAAGAGCCAAAUACCACAAAACAACCACCACGUGUUUUUAAAACUCACAAUUUGUCUUUGUUUUGUUUGAAACAGAAACAAAAAAAUUUCAAAUAAAGGAUGCAAUUUCAUACUUCUGUCAAUGCAAGAGUCAUGAUUACAGCAUACGAUGCUGGAUCUCAAUUAUGGAACAUAUUUGAAAAAUCAGAAAAAGGAAGUCCAAGAGCCCACCUGAAGAACAGGAUGAAGAAAUUGCAAGUCCAGGAGCCUGACUGAAGAACAGGAUGAAGAAAUUGUAAGUCCAGGAGCCCGCCUGAAGAACAUGGUGAAGAAAAAGUAACUCCACGAGCCCUCCUGAAGAACAUGGUGAAGAAAAAGUAACUCCAGGAGCCCGCCUGAAGAACAGGGUGAAGAAAUUAUAACCCCAGGAGCCCGCCUAAGGAAUAGGGUAAAGAAAUUGUAACUUCAGGAGCCCGCCUAAAGAAUAGGGUGAAGAAAUUGUAACUCCAGGAGCCCGCCUGAAGAACAGGAUGAAGAAAUUAUAAGUCCAGGAGUUCGCCUGAAGAACAGGGUGAAGAAAAAGUAACUCUAGGAGCCCGUCUGAAGAACAAGGUGAAGAAAUUGUAACUCUAGGAGCCCGCCUGAAAAACAGGGUGAAGUAAAAAGAAGUUCGGGAGCUCGCCUGAAGAACAGGAUGAAGAAAUCGAAAGUCAGGAGCUCGCCUGAAGAAUAGGGUGAAUUUUCAAGUUCAAGUCAUAAAGAUUUGAAUCAAAAUUCUAGAGAUUGCAAUUUUCAUUUCAUUUUUUAUUUUGUUAGUCAUUUGAAUGUAAAAGACAGAAGUUGUUAACCGGAAAUUCGAUGGAAUCUCAUUCGACUUUUAACUCUUUCUCUCUCUAUAUCAUCUUUGAACUACUUGUGACCUGAUUCCCUUAUAACCCGGGAUAGAUGGGAUGUCCAAAAACCAGGACUCGGUCACAUUUCUCCUUUUAUUUUUUAUUCUUAUUUUUACUUUUCAAAUAAUUGGAGGAUCAAAAAUCAUAUUUUGUCUACUUAUUUGUAUGAAAACUCUUCGAGAUUCCACACAAAGAGGGGCAAAAAUAUAAACACGUGAUUUUUGAUUCUCCCUAAAUAUUUAACUUGUUUAUCG